rnacentral:rRNA from 1 species
AUUGAACGCUGGCGGCAGGCCUAACACAUGCAAGUCGAGCGGAUGAAGGGAGCUUGCUCCUGGAUUCAGCGGCGGACGGGUGAGUAAUGCCUAGGAAUCUGCCUGGUAGUGGGGAUAACGUCCGGAAACGGGCGCUAAUACCGCAUACGUCCGGAGGGAGAAAGCGGGGGAUCUUCGGACCUCACGCUAUCAGAUGAGCCUAGGUCGGAUUAGCUAGUUGGUGGGGUAAAGGCCUACCAAGGCGACGAUCCGUAACUGGUCUGAGAGGAUGAUCAGUCACACUGGAACUGAGACACGGUCCAGACUCCUACGGGAGGCAGCAGUGGGGAAUAUUGGACAAUGGGCGAAAGCCUGAUCCAGCCAUGCCGCGUGUGUGAAGAAGGUCUUCGGAUUGUAAAGCACUUUAAGUUGGGAGGAAGGGCAGUAAGUUAAUACCUUGCUGUUUUGACGUUACCAACAGAAUAAGCACCGGCUAACUUCGUG